rnacentral:rRNA from 1 species
GGAAUAUUGCGCAAUGGGCGAAAGCCUGACGCAGCGACGCCGCGUGAGGGAUGAAGGUCUUCGGAUUGUAAACCUCUUUCAGCAGGGACGAAGCGAAAGUGACGGUACCUGAAGAAGAAGCACCGGCUAACUACGUGCCAGCAGCCGCGGUAAUACGUAGGGUGCAAGCGUUGUCCGGAUUUAUUGGGCGUAAAGAGCUCGUAGGCGGUUAGACACGUCGGAUGUGAAAACUGGGGGCUCAACCCCCAGCCUGCAUUCGAUACGGUCUGACUAGAGUGUGGUAGGGGUAACUGGAAUUCCUGGCGUAGCGGUGAAAUGCGCAGAUAUCAGGAGGAACACCGAUGGCGAAGGCAGGUUACUGGGCCACCACUGACGCUGAGGAGCGAAAGCGUGGGGAGCAAACAGGAUUAGAUACCCUGGUAGUCCACGCCGUAAACGGUGGGCGCUAGAUGUGGGGACCAUUCCAUGGUUUCUGCGUCGCAGCUAACGCAUUAAGCGCCCCGCCUGGGGAGUACGGUCGCAAGACUAAAACUCAAAGGAAUUGACGG